CAUGAUUACCUUUUCAACAAACUGUGAACUAUAUUUUACUAUUCGUGUGUUGUUUUACUUUCGAGUAUUUCAAUCACACUGUCAUUCGAUGAACAUUAGAUAGCUGGCUCGUAACUUUGUUACUUUCUCAGCUGAUUGUUUGUAUUGACUAAACAUCUUACAACAAUCACCAUAAAAACAUAGAAA
rnacentral:misc_RNA from 1 species